GUUCGGGUUCGGUUUCUCGGUUUGGGUUGGCAGAGUGGCUGCCAGCGGAGAGUGUGAACUCCCCCUGGCGGUGGUGGGCAGACGUGCCCUUUAAGCCACAGGCCACGUCCUUGCAAGGGAUGCCUUGCAAGGACUCCGGGAGGGGCGGAUGGACCCUCAUUUGGUGAGAAGGGAUUCUGCUGCCAACCCGUCAGGUCUUGCCGGCUACUUUUCUUCUCAGGUUGAGUUCACUGCCCGUCUUUAAUCUUUGCUUCUAAACUUGUGUUAAACCUUUACUGUGUGUCCGUGUUUGUGUCACGUUUGUAUUGUCCCUGUCUCUGCCUGAGUAACUCCCAGUAUGGGACAAAGCCAUUCCACGCCUCUGUCCCUGAAGCCUUUCUUGGUCCCUGCCUCCACUCCGACCCCUUCCCCCAAGAUCCUAUCACUCAAUCCUUCUGCUCCUCCCCCUUUUCCCUCCAUUCUCCCUGAGUCACAAGAUUGUAGAUCUUGGGGUUGUGAACGAACCGGAGCUGCAUGAUGAUCUUUGUGUGUCUUUUUUGUCUGUGUCUCUGUUAAGUGUGAUGGCAUUGUUUUACUUUGGACCAAUGCAGAGUCCCAAAUUCCAAACGGCCUUAGAUGUGUGGAAGUAACUUUAGCUAAAUUUUAACCUAAUGCUUCUGUGAGGGACCAAAAGUCAAUAGAACCGCCAGCUUUUCUGUUCUCACCUUUUACACCUCUCUUAGCUGUGUUUUAAAGAACUUUGAUAAACUUUACCCCCCUUUGUUGAGCGAGAUUAGGGAAGCAGUGUUUUCUUUUCUUCCCAUAGUUGGCUUGAGCACGCCCACUGCAGAGGGAAAUGCCUGGGGUCUAAAAACUUUGAUAUCUCGCUUAAACUUUUCUCAAACAACUGCAAGCAGAAGAUGAACUUUUUGGGAAGCUGACUACUGAAAAGUUAGGAGAUGUGAGAAAUGCCUAGUGCCUGGGGUCAGACCAGGCCAGAGGAACUAAUCCUCUUCUGCUUAGGCACUACCGGCCUCUGAAGACCGAUGAACCCCCAGCAUCUUCAAGAGAACAGUUCACUCAGUGCUGAAGCUCACUACCAGGCACGAUGGAAUGCAACAGACAUCAGACAGUGGGAGACAACAAGUUCGGAGAAUCUCAUAAUCUGCCAUCCUGGAUUCAUGAGUCUUUAUGUCCUUCUAAGCUUCCUCAUGGCCCUUGGUCUCUUUUCUGUCAGUCCCCCAGCAUGGAACUUCUGCCAAAAAUUGACCUUUGCUUUAAUCUUUAUCUUCAUUCUGUUUUUAUUCGCUCUGAUUUUCUUCAGGUGCUGGUAACGCCAACUUGGUGCCUAUCUGGAAGAACUUACUAAUAAACGGGUUGCCUGCCACUUAUCUAAGCCCUACAUCUCCCCCUUAGUUCUAUAUAAGCACACAGCUUUUUGCAAGGUUAAUUAUGGUGCUGUUAAUGUGUUCAUAUCUUCCAGGUAUACAAGUCUGUAAGGUAGAAGCUUCAAAAGAACAUUAUAUCGAGCUGGUGUUCUAAAGUUGUAUGGUAAUUUUAGGCUUAAAAAAAAACAUGUUGGAGAUUUAUUCAUAUCAUUUGUGUUCUACAACUGGACUUGUUAUCAAUAAGAUAUGUAUGGUUCCAUGUUACUUUCUACUCUGAGAUACAAUUUAUGUAUUUUUAAGUUAAUGAGAGCCUAAUCUGUGUGAAGGUUUUAUUGCAAAACACAAAAGUACAUUACUACUUUUCUACAAGAGGUUAAAAGCUUUCAGCCUUUAAUUCAUGUUUUAGGUGUGAUAUUAUGUUGUGUUAGCUAAUGUUCAUGUAAACUUGAACAACAAUUUAUGUAAACUUUGUAAAAUGAUCAGCUUCAGAACUAUAAUACUUGAGAUUUAUAAAGAGCCCUGCCUUACUUGAGAUAAGGCUCUGUCCCAUCUCACUACAUGUAAAAGUGACUAUGGAAGAAGUAGGCCAGAUUUCAGUACAGUUAAAGUUGUGUCCAAAAGUAGAUUUUUGUCAAGAUUACUAGGAUCUCAAAUAGGAAAUUAUGAUGUAUAACCCUGCCAGAAUUCAAGGUAGCUAUUAUAUAAGCUAAAUAUGUUUUUACCCUAGUUAGUUUUGUUUUGUAGUUUGCUUAUAGAUGGUUUAAGGAUUGCCUGUUAAUGUUUUAAAGAGGUAUUGCUUUAAGAACACAACCUGGGUCAACAUAAGAUAAGGAGUUAUCAUCUACAGGAUAGAGAGAUAAACAUUAAAGCCCAGUGCUCUUAAUAGAAGGCUGUUAACUUAUUUGCUGGAUGUUUAAGAUCAAGUUUUUAAAAUUAGUUAAAUUAAAAGGGCCAAGAAAACCAAUAUUUGGCUCUUGCCCUCUGAGUCAGUCUGAAUCAGGGAAUAGGGGACUUCUCCAAAGGGCUCUGCAACUCUAGGCCACAUAACUUUCCGAUCAGGGAGAUUAAUGAGACCGGUGGAGGACAGGAGGCCAAUCAGUGCAUUUGCUAUGAAGAGGAGGGUCAUCAGAAAAGGGGAGACAUCCCUGAUGCUUCCGAGGGAAGCCACAUGGUCGAGCAAGGCCUGGACCCAUCUUAAGGUAAAUGGCACUAGCAGAACUGAGAAGCUGCUAUGAAGUUCCCCGAGGACUCCCAGGGAAACUCAUCUGACUGUUGACAAUAGAUAAGAACAAAAGUCAGUUUGACUUGCUUCAUCUUAAACACUUAGCAAAGAUAGUUAAAGCCAAAGCACAGCUGUUCCUGGACAUUUUAAAUGAUAAUAAUAAUUAAAUGUGACUUCCAAAAAUAAGUAAACUGGAGGCUACAAAAGAGAUUCUCAGACAGGAAUGCCUGAUAACUAUUAAAAGGAACUGCCAGAGUAGUUUUUAGUUUAAGGCCCACAGAUAUUCCUAACCUACACAGGUAGGCUUGGUGUUUGCUAGUAUGGUUAUCCAGCCUUAAGUAGCAGAAUUAAAGGUUUCUCUAUUAGACACAGGUCAUACUAGUAAAAGGAUUUUUAUGACAUUAAAUUAUUAGACUAUAUCUUAAAGGAAAAGGACAUCUGUAAACCUAAAUGUUAGUUGUUGUGUUUACAUCCCCGACAUUUCUGGCAAGGUGACAAAGGUCCUUAAAGAUUUACAUGCUGAGAUAGAAGCCAUGUCCUCAGCAACUUUGUUGUGGAAACAAUAUCUUAGCUCCUGGUUCUUGGUACUUCCUGGUGAAAAACAUUGUUAGUCUCUGUCUUGGCCAUUAUACUCAUUGGCAUAUUCCUGUGCUGUGACAUUUAUUGCUGCAUCAAUAUGGUUCCAGUAAACUAAUGAAUUCUUGUUUCUCUUAUAGACCACCUAUCCCUCGAAUGGCCCUCCAGCCUAAUACUUCUCAAUUGGACUUUUAUCAUGGACCACUCGAUAGACCCGAUUAUUAAAGGGGGACUCCAAACUGCUUGCCCCACACUGUCCCUUUUCAGCCUGAAGAAGCCGGAAAGAUCCUAUUCGCCCCCCUUCCUUACAGCAGUAAGGAGUUCCCAAAUUAGAGGAGGGAAUAAAGCCAGAUUUUAAGUUAGGUAGUCAGUGUAGUUAGAUAAAUCGGGGUCUAAUACCGAGUGAAAUCUAAAAUGGAGGCCAUGCUGAAAAUGAUUCCAGGGAACACAAAACAACUCACGAAAAGUGAAACCCUUCAAUAAUUGUGAUGCAUUACUUUUAAGAUUAAAAGUAGUCAGAAAAAGGAGUGGGGAAUGUAAGGGUAAAAGAAAUUGAAGUUAAAGCAUAAAAGUUAAAGGGUAAAAGACCGGGUGUUGUAAAAGUUUCUAAGCUGCAAGGUCUGAGUUAAAAUGUAAAGGAGGUAUUGUUAGGUUUCUAUGCUACCUGCAAAACCUGAAAUUUCUGUAGCUGUUAAGACAAUGCUUAGAACCGCCCAGUAAACAUUUCCCCUGGCUGUUUGGUUAUUUAAUAACUGAAGGGCUCUGUGUAACUGGUCACGUAGUCCUCUGGGCCCUAAAACCAAUCAGUUUGAAUGUGUACCCUGUUUAGAAAUGACCUAUCACUCCAGCCUGACCUGUUCCCGCCAAUGAAUGAACCAAUCAUGUUUAGGAGUUGUUGUUCAAUUUUCCCGUGCCUCAUGAUGAUUUGUUCUGAUGUAUACAAAGCCCUCCGCCCUCCCCAAAAAGUGUACUUAAGCAGUGCUCAGCCCCUGCUCGGGGCUCUGGGCUGCUUUCCCUUCUUGAGUGGGCACGGAGCCCCAGCAUGCUGGUUCAAUAAAUCCCCUUCUGCCAAUUGCA